rnacentral:rRNA from 1 species
GAUGAACGCUGGCGGCGUGCUUAACACAUGCAAGUCGAACGGUGAACACGGCGCUUGCUCUGUGGGAUCAGUGGCGAACGGAUGAGUAACAAGUGAGCAACCUGCCCCUGACUCUGGGAUAAGCGCUGGAAACGGCGUCUAAUACUGGCUAUGUGACGUGAACGCAUGGUCUGCGUUUGGAAAGAUUUUUCGGUUGGGGAUGGGCUCGCGGCCUAUCAGCUUGUUGGUGAGGUAAUGGCUCACCAAGGCGUCGACGGGUAGCCGGCCUGAGAGGGUGACCGGCCACACUGGGACUGAGACACGGCCCAGACUCCUACGGUAGGCAGCAGUGGGGAAUAUUGCACAAUGGGCGCAAGCCUGAUGCAGCAACGCCGCGUGAGGGAUGACGGCCUUCGGGUUGUAAACCUCUUUUAGCAGGGAAGAAGCGAAAGUGACGGUACCUGCAGAAAAAGCGCCGGCUAACUACGUG